UCCUGAACAGAUGGUGGUUUGACAACCGCCAUAUUCACUGCCCACAGAGUUCACACUAUUGUGUUGCAAGUGACUAAGUGUGCAAGGGCUCUCAUUGCCUCUUAUAGGUAAGGGCGUACCAAAGAGGGUGGCCUGGAUGUUCAUUAUUGAGCUUAGUGUCCCAUGUGUUGCCGUCUCACCUUUGCGGGAUGACAUUUAUCUUUUGGAGUCCUUGCAGAAUUGAAUCUCUGCUAAUUUUUAAUAGCAGGACGGGAACAACAAGAGAACCCAGGGAGUAGUUCCUUCACUCACUUGGGGGGGGGGGUUCAGCCCAGUGUAAUAAUAUGAGGAGCAUUAUCUAGCUUUUUCUCAGUCGCCACAGAACUGUCAGAGAGCAGUUCCCAUGCUUGGAUUGGCUGGCAUCUUUCCAGCCCAUCUUGCCUUGGCUGAAAGAACUUCUGCAGUGGUGGGGCCAAUCGUGUUGCUAUCACCUGUGGCUGUUCAGGACAUGCUUUGCCCUGCAAGCUUCUUGGGGCUCAUAGCAUCGUCAGCUCUUUCUCUCUAAGCUCCUCCUCCUGCUGCCUCUCUUGCUUUCUGUCCUCAACCUCGGUGAUACCAUCAGGUAAGGCUUAGGGAAGAAAGUCUUGAGCCCCACUCAAAAGCAUGAGCAGUAGCUCCAGCACCACCAAUGCAGCAGGCUUCACAUGUUACCAUCUAAAGAUGGUACGCCCAGAGCCUGGCUGGACUACGACCCAGUUUGAAAGAGGAAGGCUGCUUUAAUGCACCAGUAUUGGGCAGUCCAGGCCAUUUUCCAGCCCUCAUUCCAGCAGCUCCUGCUUUGCAUUAUGCUUUCUCUGCGGGAAGCCACAGCCCUUGUGGGUCACCGUAAUGACUGUGCCACUGCAGCAAAAAAGAUAAUAUGGAGGAGACUGCAGCGGCUGGAAUGACCCCACUCCAAAGGCUGUGCCUCUCUGUAGCAGAAACAUGAUGUGAAGCAAGCUGCAGGCUAUAUAGCUUUUAGAACAAUAGUCUUCAGUGACUAAUCUUGAUUGACAGCUGUGGUGAAGUGGCGGCAUCAGGGGAGGCAGUCCAUUGCUCAAGGCUGGUGAGCAUCAGAUGCUGGGAGGCCAGAGCUUGGUUCAGUGAUGGAACUGGCAAGCAUCUGGCUGUACCACUCUCCUUCCAAGUACAUGUAGGCCUCAAACCUUAGAUAACUACACUGGGUGAGUGCUGGGCUCCCAGGUAGGCUUAGGCCCUUUCAUUCCAUGUAUUUAGAGUCAGAGUUAAUGAUACUAAGUGAUAGCUUGGCAUGGUCUCUGUUUUAUUUUUAUAUAAUGAUGAUUUGUUUUUCCCCAAAGUAUGGUCUUGCCAGGUUGAGAGAUGAAUGAGAACAGAAAAUAGCUAUAUUAGAGAGGGCUGCUAAAACCUGCUGUCAAUGGAUUCAGUCCCAUGGCAAGUUGCAGGAGCAUUAUUAGAUCAGUUCUGAUGAACACAAAGGUUUCUCCCAUUUGUAGUUUAAGCUUGGCCCGCUGCCUGAUUACAACACUGCCAGCUCUGCUGAAGACAUGUUCAUAUGCACAAUCCUAAUCUUUACUUUUGCCACUGACUUCUGGGAAACGCUAGGAACAUUUCUCCAGGGAGUCUGCCAGCAUGCUGAGAUAGUUAAAACUGUAUCUGUCCAAUUAGAGCUCAAUUGAAAAUAAGCCGGUGGCUACUUGGUUUAAUAGUGGGGGAUACGCAGACACAGAAAUUUUAUUUCUUAAUUUACUAUGCAAAUGAGAAAAUACAUUUGAAGUAACAAAUGUUGCCUCGAAGCAGUGUGGCGGAGCACAAACAAAGCUCUGGGCUUGUAUAUAAUUUGCACUCAGUGCCAGCUGCAUUGCAUGACAAAACCUUCGGAUUUUCCGUUGCCUUCCGGCUGCUUUGUUUGUUCAAAACCUAUUUUACAUUGUAGAUUUAUUUAUGGAAAUCAUUUUCACCCACUGUCCUAUUGAUAAACCCUUACCUUUAACAAUCAUUCAGUUCCCACAGCCAUGCAUUCCUUAAACAGAAUUUUGUAUCACGUUCGCUGCAGAAGCAAGAUGGCAUAAGGAGGCUUAAUACAUUUAUUUAUGUUUCUUCCCCGAGGGCUUGAAACGUGUCCUAAUUUUAUUAUUGCAAUAGAUGUCUAAGGUAGGCUGAUAUGAGAGUUAGUGAUUCUCUAAGUCAGUCCUGCCCAACUGAUGCCCUUUUGGACUACAACCCCAAUAACUGUAACUCACAAGGUCCGGAGGGCACCAGAUAUUCUAAAGCGAGUUUGGCACCUAGCAGAGAUUUCAGCUUGGAUCUUCCACAUACAAACCCAGCACUCAACAGCGAUAAUAAUUUGAGCAGCAAUUAGCUGCACUCUGCCAGUAUAUUUUUGUCCCGCUCCUCGUUCACUCCUUGGAAGGGAGCAUGUAAAACAAUAAGUGUUGGCUUGCUUCUGCCUUCUGAAAUCCAGCACAAGUGUCAACCAUCAUUUGAAGCAUUUGUCUACAUUUCCAAAGAUUUGGGGAAUUAGAUUUGUCCACAAUCUUUCUGCACCCAGAGCUUCAGCCCUUGCUGGCCACUGUCCCGUAGCUGACUAAGCUGGCUAUAGUGUGAGACCACAGAGCCUAGGGCUUGCUGAUCAGAAGGUUGGCGGUUCAAAUCCCCGCAAUGGGGUGAGCUCCCGUUGCUCGGUCCCUGCUCCUGCCAACCUAGCAGUUCGAAAGCACGUCAAAGUGCAAGUAGAUAAAUAGGUACUGCUCCGGCAGGAAGGUAAACGGCGUUUCCAUGAGCUGCUCUGGUUUGCCAUAAGUGGCUUAGUCAUUCUGGCCACAUGACCCGGAAGCUGCACACUGGCUCCCUCGGCCAAUAAAGCAAGAUGAGCGCCGCAACCCCAGAGUAAUCCGCGACUGGACCUAAUGGUCAGGGGUCCCUUUAUCUAUUGUCCCUUAUGCAAAUGGCAGAUUUCCUGCUGUUACUACUGAAGUACUCUUUAGAAAAAGCUACUAAUUUUUUUAUGGUAAUUUCCAAAACUUCAGAUGUUUAUUAUAGUCCUAAGCCAGGAUGGUGGGCUGAUGCCAUGAUGUGUGCUCUCUGAGCCACACAGAAAGUAAAGAGCCUUGUGGCUUCUUAAUGCCUAAUACAUUUAUUCUGCUUAUAUGCUCUCCUGGACUAAAAUCCACUGUCAGAUGCAUGAAGCCUUAUCCUCAAUAGCAAGUAUAAAUUUACCUGGGGCUUUCUUGGGCGGGGAGAGGAGGAUAUAAGAAGACGCCUUCACCCCGGUAUGGCUCCCCGUUAUCACAUACACAGCCCAACAGGACAAUGACAAUAAUCCACCAACAGCAUACAAAUCAAUAUGGCUAACCUGAUCCAAAACACCCACCCACCUCACUCACACACGAAAACAAACAUCACCACAGCCAAUCACAAGCAAACAAUCACACCCUAGGCCAACCCCAACCUCUCUCACCACCAAAGGAACACAAGUGAACAACACAAGCAAUGCUGACACCAAACUCUACAUACAUUAAACAUAAUAGAAACACCGCCACCCGACCCCACCCCCAUGCAUCUUCCCUCUCUCCACCCCCCCUUUCUUUUUUCUUUUCUUUUUUUCUUCUCCCCCUAAUGCCUCAACAAAUGAAACGAAUUUGUAAAAAUGUUACAUGAAAAAAAAAAUACGAGGCACUACACUUCUGUAAAACAAGAAAAUCCUU